UGCAUUUUUGUGCUCUGGACGAUUGUAGU
rnacentral:piRNA from 1 species